UGAACGCUGGCGGCGUGCUUACACAUGCAAGUCGAACGNAAGCGAUGGAGAACGGAGAUUUCGGUUGAAGUUUUCUAUUGACUGAGUGGCGGACGGGUGAGUAACGCGUGGGUAACCUGCCCUAUACAGGGGGAUAACAGUUAGAAAUGACUGCUAAUACCGCAUAAGCGCACAGCUUCGCAUGAAGCGGUGUGAAAAACUGAGGUGGUAUAGGAUGGACCCGCGUUGGAUUAGCUAGUUGGUGAGGUAACGGCCCACCAAGGCGACGAUCCAUAGCCGGCCUGAGAGGGUGAACGGCCACAUUGGGACUGAGACACGGCCCAAACUCCUACGGGAGGCAGCAGUGGGGAAUAUUGCACAAUGGGGGAAACCCUGAUGCAGCGACGCCGCGUGAAGGAAGAAGUAUCUCGGUAUGUAAACUUCUAUCAGCAGGGAAGAAAGUGACGGUACCUGACUAAGAAGCCCCGGCUAAUUACGUGCCAGCAGCCGCGGUAAUACGUAAGGGGCAAGCGUUAUCCGGAUUUACUGGGUGUAAAGGGAGCGUAGACGGUUUGGCAAGUCUGAUGUGAAAGGCAUGGGCUCAACCUGUGGACUGCAUUGGAAACUGUCAGACUUGAGUGCCGGAGAGGCAAGCGGAAUUCCUAGUGUAGCGGUGAAAUGCGUAGAUAUUAGGAGGAACACCAGUGG
rnacentral:rRNA from 1 species